UGGGGAAUAUUGGACAAUGGGGGCAACCCUGAUCCAGCAAUGCCGCGUGUGUGAAGAAGGUUUUCGGAUUGUAAAGCACUUUCGGCGGGGACGAUGAUGACGGUACCCGCAGAAGAAGCCCCGGCUAACUUCGUGCCAGCAGCCGCGGUAAUACGAAGGGGGCUAGCGUUGCUCGGAAUGACUGGGCGUAAAGGGCGUGUAGGCGGUUUGUACAGUCAGAUGUGAAAUCCCCGGGCUUAACCUGGGAGCUGCAUUUGAUACGUGUAGACUAGAGUGUGAGAGAGGGUUGUGGAAUUCCCAGUGUAGAGGUGAAAUUCGUAGAUAUUGGGAAGAACACCGUGGCGAAGGCGGCAACCUGGCUCAUAACUGACGCUGAGGCGCGAAAGCGUGGGGGAGCAAAC
rnacentral:rRNA from 1 species